CCUACGGGUGGCAGCAGUGAGGAAUAUUGGUCAAUGGGCGCGAGCCUGAACCAGCCAAGUAGCGUGAAGGAUGACUGCCCUACGGGUUGUAAACUUCUUUUAUAAAGGAAUAAAGUGAGGCACGUGUGCCUUUUUGUAUGUACUUUAUGAAUAAGGAUCGGCUAACUCCGUGCCAGCAGCCGCGGUAAUACGGAGGGUCCGAGCGUUAUCCGGAUUUAUUGGGUUUAAAGGGAGCGUAGGUGGAUUGUUAAGUCAGUUGUGAAAGUUUGCGGCUCAACCGUAAAAUUGCAGUUGAAACUGGCAGUCUUGAGUACAGUAGAGGUGGGCGGAAUUCGUGGUGUAGCGGGGAAAUGCUUAGAUAUCACGAAGAACUCCGAUUGCGAAGGCAGCUCAUUGGACUGCAACUGACACUGAGGCUCGAAAGUGUGGGUAUCAAACAGGAUUAGAUACCCGUGUAGUC
rnacentral:rRNA from 1 species